GAACGUAAGGGUGAUCUGACUUUGACAUGCCACCUCACUGACCACCAAGUUAAUGUGGUUGAUCGGGAUUAUUAAACAGGUGUCCCCUUCCUCCCUCACUGCUCCAUGUCUGCUCCUUCUGAAGCUGCACACUCAGUUGAAGAGGAAAUGUUCCCCAUAGAGGAGGAUCAUACUUGGGUCAAGGGUAUAUAAGUAGACACACUCCCUUGCUAGACCCUCCAAACAAGUUCUCAGGGAUCUGCCCGACUCUCAGUGGAGUUUCAAACCCUACUUAAGAUUUUCAUAAGACAUUGAGCUUAUUUCUCUUCAUAA
rnacentral:snRNA from 1 species